rnacentral:lncRNA from 1 species
CACUGUGACACUCAGCUACUUUGGUGUCCUCAGGUCACCCUUGCUGACCGUCUCCGACCUGACAGUUGACUUUGCCAAGUUUGUCCUUCACUCUGGCACACGGGAGACAGAGAGAGGUCCUGAAAAAGUGUCUGGUUAAGUGAAGUCCCAGCUGUUUCAGCGCGGUUCGAGAACUUGGAACGACAGGCACGCCACCGGCAGUAUGUAGCGCUUCAGCCAGCAGAACGGAAUCAGCUGCUGUUACCACGGACGUAAAGCGGAGAAUGAUGAUCGACCCCCUCCGUUGCUUUCCAGCCCAUGUGUGGGUGUCCAUCAUUAGCAACAGGCUCGACUCCACGACAGCCAGAGCCUCUUGAGAAGGUGCCUGCUGGACCUAUGUCCUAUUAUAGCACUGUCAUCCUGCAGAAUAAGGUGAUGUGGUUCCUGCUUGACAUGAAAGCCUUUUGGAAAUACUGUACCACCAUCAGGCCACUUCGAAGGCCCUCUCCGAACAUUAUGAGGCUCUUCCUCAAAGAGACAGGAGCUCAUUGCUGACUAAUUCCUUGAAAAGGGUUCCUACACAGAAUGGAAUACGCCAUAAAAAGGAAAGAAAUGAGAUCAUGUCACCUUUUGGAAGGUGAUUUAGCUGA